rfam:Picea glauca, whole genome shotgun sequence.
GUACAUGCCUAUAACAUAGCGUUAAUGCAUCAAAUCCAAUUAGAACUCCGCAGUUAAGCACGUUCGAGCUAGAGUAGUACUGAGAUGGGUGACUGCUCGGGAAGUCCUAGUGUUUUACAUU